GACGAACGCUGGCGGCGUGCCUAAUACAUGCAAGUAGAACGCUGAAGCGAGGAGCUUGCUCUUCUUGGAUGAGUUGCGAACGGGUGAGUAACGCGUAGGUAACCUGCCUGGUAGCGGGGGAUAACUAUUGGAAACGAUAGCUAAUACCGCAUAAAAUUGAUUAUUGCAUGAUAAUUAAUUGAAAGAUGCAACUGCAUCACUACCAGAUGGACCUGCGUUGUAUUAGCUAGUUGGUGAGGUAACGGCUCACCAAGGCGACGAUACAUAGCCGACCUGAGAGGGUGAUCGGCCACACUGGGACUGAGACACGGCCCAGACUCCUACGGGAGGCAGCAGUAGGGAAUCUUCGGCAAUGGGGGGAACCCUGACCGAGCAACGCCGCGUGAGUGAAGAAGGUUUUCGGAUCGUAAAGCUCUGUUGUAAGAGAAGAACGGGUGUGAGAGUGGAAAGUUCACACUGUGACGGUAUCUUACCAGAAAGAGACGGCUAACUACGUG
rnacentral:rRNA from 1 species